AGUUGAUCAUGGCUCAGGAUGAACGCUAGCGGCAGGCUUAACACAUGCAAGUCGAGGGGCAACGCGAGUAGCAAUACUUGGCGGCGACCGGCGCAAGGGUGCGUAACGCGUGAGCAACAUGCCCGUAUCAGGGGGAUAAUCCAGGGAAACUUGGUCUAAUACCCCAUAGUAAUUUUGUAAGGCAUCUUAUAAGAUUUAAAGCUUUGGUGGAUACGGAUUGGCUCGCGUGACAUUAGCUGGAUGGUAAGGUAACGGCUUACCAUGGCUAUGAUGUCUAGGGGUUCUGAGAGGAAGGUCCCCCACACUGGAACUGAGACACGGUCCAGACUCCUACGGGAGGCAGCAGUGAGGAAUAUUGGACAAUGGAUGGAAAUCUGAUCCAGCCAUGCCGCGUGAAGGAAGAAGGUCCUAUGGAUUGUAAACUUCUUUUGUAUGGGAGCAAUAAGGCCUACGAGUAGGUUGAUGAGAGUACCAUACGAAUAAGCACCGGCUAACUCCGUGCCAGCCGCUGC
rnacentral:rRNA from 1 species